rnacentral:lncRNA from 1 species
GAGAUAAUUUUACUUGUUAAUACAACAACUAAGCAUUUCAAAGUUAUGUGUUGUAGAAGUAAUUAAUUUUUGAAGCCAAUAAUACAAUUAUUUUGAUGCAUAGAAAUGUAUUUAUCCAUUCUCAAGCAGGUAAAUUCCUGAAAGAUAACAUAAAAUUACCUGCAACUACACAGAAACUAUCCUCACAGUCCCCUGCAUAUCAAACAAAACUUAUUUUUAUUUGCUCAUUCAAGGAAAUGUAAAACAAAAAUUUGAAAAUAUUUCAUAGCAAGAACAUCUUUUUAAGCAAUAUUAUUGAGAAAAAAAAAAGAUUUUUAAAUUUUUAUAGGAACUAAAAUUCUCAACUACCCGACUUUCUUGAUGAGGAUGGUUUGGAGCUUGCGAGCGAGGCCCUGCGAUCGAAUCUUACGCUCCAAAUUCUUGCGUACCAGAACUCGUUCCUCCGAG